AUAUAGGACGUCCAACUUAACUUGGAGUCCGAACUCUCACUUUCUAACCCUGUGCACUUGUUUGGGAUAGUAACUCUCGCAAGAGAGCGAACUCCUAUUCACUUAUAAACACAAAGUCUAUGAAUGUAUUAAAUUUUAUAACAAAAUAAAACUUUCAACAACGGAUCUCUUGGCUCUCGCAUCGAUGAAGAACGCAGCGAAAUGCGAUAAGUAAUGUGAAUUGCAGAAUUCAGUGAAUCAUCGAAUCUUUGAACGCACCUUGCGCUCCAUGGUAUUCCGUGGAGCAUGCCUGUUUGAGUGUCAUGAAUACUUCAACCCUCCUCUUUCUUAAUGAUUGAAGAGGUGUUUGGUUUCUGAGCGCUGCUGGCCUUUACGGUCUAGCUCGUUCGUAAUGCAUUAGCAUCCGCAAUCGAACUUCGGAUUGACUUGGCGUAAUAGACUAUUCGCUGAGGAAUUCUAGUCUUCGGAUUAGAGCCGGGUUGGGUUAAAGGAAGCUUCUAAUCAGAAUGUCUACAUUUUAAGAUUAGAUCUCAAAUCAGGUAGGACUACCCGCUGAACUUAAGCAUAUCAAUAAGCGGAGGAAAAGAAACUAACAAGGAUUCCCCUAGUAGCGGCGAGCGAAGCGGGAAGAGCUCAAAUUUAUAAUCUGGCACCUUCGGUGUCCGAGUUGUAAUCUCUAGAAAUGUUUUCCGCGUUGGACCGCACACAAGUCUGUUGGAAUACAGCGGCAUAGUGGUGAGACCCCCGUAUAUGGUGCGGACGCCCAGCGCUUUGUGAUACAUUUUCGAAGAGUCGAGUUGUUUGGGAAUGCAGCUCAAAUUGGGUGGUAAAUUCCAUCUAAAGCUAAAUAUUGGCGAGAGACCGAUAGCGAACAAGUACCGUGAGGGAAAGAUGAAAAGCACUUUGGAAAGAGAGUUAACAGUACGUGAAAUUGUUGGAAGGGAAACGCUUGAAGUCAGACUUGCUUGCCGAGCAAUCGGUUUGCAGGCCAGCAUCAGUUUUCCGGGAUGGAUAAUGGUAGAGAGAAGGUAGCAGUUUCGGCUGUGUUAUAGCUCUCUGCUGGAUACAUCUUGGGGGACUGAGGAACGCAGUGUGCCUUUGGCGGGGGUUUCGACCU
rnacentral:rRNA from 1 species